UCCAAAACUAUCCCAUCAAAUUACAAAUAAACUUGCAUUUGCUGAAUUGAAAAGAGAAGAGAGAAUGGAGCGGCGAGAAAGAGGAAAAGGGAGAGAGGGUUGAUCGCACAAGAUGAGAGGGACAAAAAAAGAGAGAGAGAAGGGGAAGAAAAUUGAGGAAACAUGGAGGUCGGGUGAAAAGAGGGUGAUAAAUCGAUUCACGAGCAAUUAAGAGAGAGGAAACUGCAUCAGUAUACAGCACGAAGGAGACGGCUCAAAUGGGGACUGCUAUUGCAGGCAAACACCAGGCAAAAACAGGAGGUGGCAUCGACGGGGAUUGUGAUUGGGGCUAAAUCCUUGAAUUUAGUACGAUAUCGCACCACAGUUGAGGUUUUCUUUUCAGGUUAGGGAACACGAAUAGUAGCAGCCAGAUGAGAUGUGAGGAGAGUUCCUUAACUUUGGAUAGAGUUGAGGUGGUAGAUAUUGAUGUAAGUUUUGUUUUAAUUUUUUUAGUUUAAAAUUGUCUCAUGUAAUAUGAUUUCACUUCUGAUUUCAUUUCAAGGGAUGUUUAUUCUAUGUAGUUCCGCUACAUUUAAUAAUGUCUUCUUGGUCACUUUGUUGUGAUAUGAACGGCUGACAUCCUGUCCUCUGGAAUUAGGGACGAGACGUCACACCAUAUGUUAAUGAUGAAAUUAUUGAGAUAUAUGAAAGUAAAGUUUCUGAUGUAUAGAA